GAUGAACGCUGGCGGCGUGCCUAAUACAUGCAAGUCGAGCGAACAGACGAGGAGCUUGCUCCUCUGACGUUAGCGGCGGACGGGUGAGUAACACGUGGAUAACCUACCUAUAAGACUGGGAUAACUUCGGGAAACCGGAGCUAAUACCGGAUAAUAUAUUGAACCGCAUGGUUCAAUAGUGAAAGACGGUUUUGCUGUCACUUAUAGAUGGAUCCGCGCCGCAUUAGCUAGUUGGUAAGGUAACGGCUUACCAAGGCAACGAUGCGUAGCCGACCUGAGAGGGUGGUCGGCCACACGGGAACUGAGACACGGUCGAGACUCCUGCGGGAGGCAGCAGUAGGGAAUCUUCCGCAAUGGACGAAAGCCUGACGGAGCAACGCCGCGUGAGGGAUGAAGGUCUUCGGAUCGUAAAGCUCUGUUAUCAGGGAAGAACAAAUGUGUAAGUAACUAUGCACGUCUUGACGGUACCUGAUCAGAAAGCCACGGCUAACUACGUG
rnacentral:rRNA from 1 species